rnacentral:lncRNA from 1 species
CUUUUUAAAUAAGCUGUAGUCAUGUCCUAGGGUUUGAAAAAAAAUAAUUCCACAGUACUUUGAAUACCAUGCAGGUUAUAUUCUUCUCUGAAAUGUAAUCCCAUUCAAGUAGCCAUUAAUUUUAUUUAAUGUAUAUAUAUGUUGUGUACAAGAUGUAAGUUUGUACAAAUUAUAAUUUGUACAGGGUUUUUGUACAAGUUAUAAGUUUUUUUACACCUACCUUCUUGCAACAGGUGAUACAGGUUUAACUUAUAAAAUGUACCAGUGUAAUGUUUUAAAUUCAAAAAAAUAUACGUCAACCUAACAUUUAGUGCUAUUCUCCUUGCCUUCAAACUGGAAAUGAGGAUACCUGAAUGGUUUAAAUUCUAAUUUUAUUUCUUUCCUUAUACCAUAUUCAUAUCUAUACAAAAUCUUUGUGAGGUCUUAUAAUGUUUUUGUAUCAAGGCUCAGUAUUAGACUGUAUCAUGAAGUUGUGAAAAAUCGACUGAAAUAUGUGGAGCAAAAGACUGCUUGCAUCAUCCAAUUUUGUUCAGCAGGUCAUAAAACACUGAUAACUUGUCCAAAAAUUCUGUACAAAUUAUAAUUUGUACAACAUUACAACUUGUACACAACAUAUAUAUAAAAGAACAAUUGAAAUAUAUUGUCACUCAUUGAUGGCAUUCAGUUUAAAGCAUUUCUGCAUGUAAAAAUAUUAAUAUAAU